UACAGAGGUCCCAAGCGUUGUUCGGAUUCAUUGGGCGUAAAGGGUGCGUAGGUGGCGUCGUAAGUCGGGUGUGAAAUCUCGGGACUUAACUCCGAAACUGCAUUCGAUACUGCGGUGCUUGAGGACUGGAGAGGAGACUGGAAUUUACGGUGUAGCAGUGAAAUGCGUAGAGAUCGUAAGGAAGACCAGUGGCGAAGGCGGGUCUCUGGACAGUUCCUGACACUGAGGCACGAAGGCCAGGGGAGCAAACGGG
rnacentral:rRNA from 1 species